rnacentral:lncRNA from 1 species
GGAUCUUUAAGUGAUUAGGACAGUUAGCUGUGCUUUGAUGCAAUCAGAAUGAACAAAUCCUUCAAAAGCUUUGUAACCUUGAUUAUUUUGAUGGAAUCAUUUUCCUGUUUGUUAAAGUCUGAAGACCUAAACCCAUUCCAUUUGACUAUUUUGUGUUUACUUACCUGCCUGGUUCUUAAAUAGGCAGGUACUUAAAUAGUUAUUGAAUGAGUGAAAGAAUCAAAGAAAAGGAGAGACAAGUCUUGUCUCUUCAUUUUGUUUUCUCCAGUCUCCCUCCCUGUUUCAGAGGCCCAAGUACCUGGUUAAAGAAUCUAAUCUCUAUGACAUUUGCCUUGAGGGUGGGGCCUCAUCUCAUUUAUCUCUGUGGCCCCCAAGCCCAGCAUAAUCCCAGUAAGUGUUGAAAUGGAUGAAAGAAUUUCUAAGGGAUAGUAACUCUAUGGUUGGAUUUUGGUAAAUACCAAGCGUAUUAAAAUGUUUCAUAUUCUGAGAAGUUGAUUCAUUAAGUUUAGGAGAGAGAAUUUAGUCUGUCACAUUUUUUUUUUUCUGUGCACAAAUGGAGCUUACACAAGAUGACUUUUUUCUCCCCCCACCCCCGUCCUUUACUGUUGUUUCUUCUUAUUGCUUCUCUAAUGCUUCCCUUUAGAGAGAAGCCAUGACGUUAUUUUAAUUCUGGAAUGAGCUGGGAUUUUAAAAUGCUUGCUCUACACAGGAUGUCUAGAGUAUAAAUUACAUGAAUGCAUUGUCACUUUUCCAACCUUUAGCUUUUAACUUUAUAGCAAAUAUAUUUUUGCAUCACUGGGGUCUGUAUUUACUUGUUUCCCUAAUGCAGCUUUUCUCCAUGGAAUACUCUCAGUAGAAACAUAUGCUUGAAGCUUCAAAGUAAUUACAAUAUCACUAAAAGCUUCAUAAUCACAUUACUGCAACUAAAUGUUAAAAAAUUUGAUUUUCCUUGAUCCAAUCAUUUCAAUUUAAUUUUAGGCUACUGCAUGAUUGAUUAAGGAAACAUGGCAGGCCAAAGUCAAGGAGUGUUCAUAAUGCCUAAAGCCUUGCACAGAAAACUUCAAGACAAUUUAAUUUGGGUAGGAAUUCAUUUUAAUCAUUCUGAGCGAUUUUUUAAUAGGAAAAAUAGAUUUAUUUUCGUGCUUUUUGUCUUUGACUGACUCUGAUGUCAUCUAUCUAGCCCUCUGCCUGGAGCAUUCAUCCACCUUCUCUUCAGCCUUCUGGGUAGAGACCCCGGAUGAUACAAAAGCCCUAGUUCUAAAACAAAGAACUGAAGUCGGAUUUUUUUCAUAAUUGUUCUAAAGAUGUUCUUUCAUGUUAUGUAUAAGAUAGGCUUAAAUUUUAAACUUAAAGAAAGUGUGGAUAAUGUUGAAAUAUUUGUAUCUGUUUACAGUAUGCAAGUGCAGCUCCAACAGUGGCUUUACAUGAGGCAUUUAUUCUGCCUCCUUUCAAUUAAAUAACAGGAUAUGCCAGCAGCUUCACUUGUCCAUGAAGAUACAGAACUUUAUGAAUAAACAUAUCUACCUUUUCCUCAUGGCUCACAGUGGGGCGGAGAAAUGGUCUUUCAUCAAAGUCAUGUCUGUGGUUGUUCUCAAAAACCAUUUAUUUUUAUUUUUAGUGAAUUAUAGAGACAAGUGAAUAUGAAGUUACUUUCCAAAGUAAUGUGAAUUUUCCUAAUUUUAAGCGUAGUUUGUUUUAAUCAUAUGGGCUAUAAAGCCAUAAAUGUAGAAUAUUUACUGAUCAUAUUUGAUAUUUACUCAGCCAGAAGUCUAGACAUUAACCUGCUUUUAUAAUUCUGCUUCUAAGCAUGUGCCACUCUGUGGUGGGUCUGAUGCGUUAGGCCAGCAGAAACCCAGACCAGAUCUAUUCAUCCUGUCUCAUACAGCAUGUAAUUCAGGCUGUGAUCAAUAGGAUCCCAAGCAGCAGGAGAAACCUACUUGCCCUAUUGACUCCAUCCACCUGCCUCCAUCCUGACAGGGCUUCUGACUUGGCCUAAUGUGAAUAAAUCCCAGGAGGGAAACCGGUGGUUUUUGUCUGUCUUUUGUCUACUUAGGGCCACACCUGUGGCAUAUGGAGCUUCCCAGGCUAGGGGUCAAAUCCAAGCUGCAGCUACCAGCCUACACCACAGCCACAGCAACGUGGGAUCCGAGCCACAUCUUCAGUGUACACCACAGCUUACAGCAAUGCCAGAUCCUAACCCACUGAGUGAGGCCAGGAAUCAGACCCGUGUCCUCGUGGAUACUCGUCGCGUUAACCACUGAGCCAUGAUCAGAACUCUAAGACCAGUAGUUCUUAAUUAAGGCAGUUUAAGUCAUGUCUGUUAUCUGUUAUGACCCAUACAAGGAGGUUUGGAAUGAUAUUGCCAGUAAUAACAAGGGGCAGUAGAUGAUCCAAAAAGUAACCCUUAUAGCAAAUGAAGUUGUGUUGACAGGUGACAAAGAAUGUUCUGAGAUGUAUGAAGCAUUUGAAUACAUCUAUUUUAAAGGGUUUUUAAAAAGCCUGAGUACAUUAUUUAAUACAGUAUAUUGGUUUGAAUAUGUGCAUAAACCCAGCACAGAAGUGUCUGGCUUGUUGAUGUCCCAUGCACAUUUUCACUUUGGUUAUUAAAGUGUGAUUCUAGAUGUAUAAUCCAUGCCUAAGAAAGGAAGACUUUU